rnacentral:lncRNA from 1 species
AAAUGUGCUUCUAGAUGUCUGCUACCAUGAAAGAGUUCCCUAAUGGAAGACACCAGACACAGAAGUCAAAAUUACUAAGACCACAUAAGCCAAGGAAAUUGUAUGUGCAGACUAAUACAUCCCUGGGGGAGGCUUGGAGGUUACUGGAAGAACAACAAAAGGAUACACGGGAUCAUUGGCUUUAGAGCUGGAAUUGAUGACUUUAGGGCUCAGCCAAGAAAAGAAGUGAGGAGAAGAAAGGGAGAAGUUGGCACAACUUUCCCAAAGUAGUCCUGAAUAUCAGAACAUGUUGUAGAAUUUUCAAGUUCCCUUCCUUGAUGAAAGGAG